CCUACGGGAGGCAGCAGUGAGGAAUAUUGGUCAAUGGACGAGAGUCUGAACCAGCCAAGUAGCGUGAAGGAUGACUGCCCUAUGGGUUGUAAACUUCUUUUAUAUGGGAAUAAAAUGUUCCACGUGUGGGAUUUUGUAUGUACCCUAUGAAUAAGGAUCGGCUAACUCCGUGCCAGCAGCCGCGGUAAUACGGAGGAUCCGAGCGUUAUCCGGAUUUAUUGGGUUUAAAGGGAGCGUAGGGGGUUUGUUAAGUCAGUUGUGAAAGUUUGCGGCUCAACCGUAAAAUUGCAGUUGAAACUGGCAGUCUUGAGUACAGUAGAGGUGGGCGGAAUUCGUGGUGUAGCGGUGAAAUGCUUAGAUAUCACGAAGAACUCCGAUUGCGAAGGCAGUUCACUGGACUGCAACUGACACUGAGGCUCGAAAGUGUGGGUAUCAAACAGGAUUAGAUACCCCUGUAGUC
rnacentral:rRNA from 1 species